UAGCUCAGUGGCAGAGCUCCCGCUUCAUAUGCGGGAAGACCUGGGUUCGAUUCCCGG
rfam:Toxocara canis scaffold162, whole genome shotgun sequence.